GUCAUGUUUUAGUUAGGUGGAGUACAACCUUAUUCAUAUUCUCACAGUGUUGUCCACACUUCCUAAGAAGUAAAAGACUCAAAUUAAGAAAGUAAGCAAAACAAAAUUGGUUCAAAUAAAACAGAUUAUAUUCAAACAAUCCACUGUCAAGUAAACCUGUUGAAGAAAUCCACAAACAUAAAUAACAACAUAUGCAUUCCCAAGGUCAUCAGCAAUUUUAUAUAUUCCAUGGGUACAAUCAUGUUAACCCACUGUACAUGUUAUAUAUAUAAUGGAAAAAUGAAUAAAUAAACAGAGUGCAGAUAUCUAACCUGAUUUCCUUGGAAGUAAAAGAAGAUCUCAUGGGCAAUUGAGUUUAAAUAAAUUUUUCCAGGAAAAAUGAAAUCAGUGGAAAAGCAAUAACAACAACAACAACAAAAAAAAACUUCACAAGGGGCUGGAGAUUUAACUUAGCAGCACAGCGCCUGCCUGGCAAGCUCAAGGUUGUAAGUUCAAUUCCCAGUACUGGAAAAAAAAAACAAAAAAAGUGCCCCCAAAACAAGCAAACAAACAAAAAAAUGAAAACAGGAAAGGCAGAAGCAGAACAACAGUUCCACUGAUUUCAGUUGAACUGUCACCUCUCGCCUGUAGGCUGCCCCUCAGAGGAAUUCUUGGUUAAGAGUGUUGCCUGUGGCAGGUGCCAGAAGGACGCCCACAAUCAUUACUGUUAGUGACCGGCUCUAGGCUGCCUGGAUCUCUGCCAUGGAAGGAAAUUUUCCAGGCUCCUGCCCUUGAUGUUGGCAAAGUUGCUAGAGCAGCUUAACUGUCUUCUCUCAAGGGAGUCCCAAGUUCAAGUAUAUUAGAAGGAAUGGUACAUGCAAGCCUGGGGAUAAGUCUGAGAAAUGAUACACAAGAUAGCACAAGAUCCAUGAAAAGUACUAAUACUAUUUACUGUAUGUGUAAAACUGCAGAGAUUUUCAUCUUGGUAAUUGAUGACACCAGUAAGAAGACUAAGUGGGCUAGCUUUUCUGGUCAUUAUGGUCCAGUUAAACCAAUGAGGAACCCCCUUGGAGCAUUAGAGAAGUCAAGAUUCGGACUAAGAGCUUCUUCAUUGAAUGACUGAAAUUCACUUAUUUCCCAGAAGAUUAUUGAAGAAAACUGGCCUGGAAGUAAUACUUUAUUUGCUUUUCAGAAUAAGAAAAAGGAAGACAUGGUAUAAAAAUGUCAUUGAUUUUGAUUCUACCAACAUAUUC
rnacentral:lncRNA from 1 species